rnacentral:rRNA from 1 species
AUUGAACGCUGGCGGCAGGCCUAACACAUGCAAGUCGAACGGUAACAGGAAGCAGCUUGCUGCUUCGCUGACGAGUGGCGGACGGGUGAGUAAUGUCUGGGAAACUGCCUGAUGGAGGGGGAUAACUACUGGAAACGGUAGCUAAUACCGCAUAACGUCGCUAGACCAAAGAGGGGGACCUUAGGGCCUCUUGCCAUCGGAUGUGCCCAGAUGGGAUUAGCUAGUAGGUGGGGUAACGGCUCACCUAGGCGACGAUCCCUAGCUGGUCUGAGAGGAUGACCAGCCACACUGGAACUGAGACACGGUCCAGACUCCUACGGGAGGCAGCAGUGGGGAAUAUUGCACAAUGGGCGCAAGCCUGAUGCAGCCAUGCCGCGUGUAUGAAGAAGGCCUUCGGGUUGUAAAGUACUUUCAGCGGGGAGGAAGGGAGUAAAGUUAAUACCUUUGCUCAUUGACGUUACCCGCAGAAGAAGCACCGGCUAACUCCGUG